UUUAAUUAGCUAGAUGGAAAAAUUUUUAAUAUUCAUUUAUAUGGCACCUACACAUACACACAAUUCCAUACAUGCAGCACACGCAAACACAUCCACACAUCUGUGACGAUGAAAAACAUUAAAAACCUUGCAAUAAAUAAUAUAUAAAUAUUGAUAAUUAAACACACCUGUACACAAGGAAGUAGGCUAUAAGUUCAAUUAAUAUUAGUGUUCUUGGGGACAAAGAAGAGAGAGAGAGAGGACGUGGAGAUAAAAACACAUUUACUGAGCACUUCACUCUCAGUUACAUACAACCCUUUCUUUCCUCUUUUUCUCUCAUUUCUCGCCGUUUACAAUUCCCUGAAAUUUGUUGGGCUGCGUAUAGGACACUCCCACCCCAUCCCCCUACCCCUCGCACCACCAUCUCGUUCCCCCAAACACAGGUCUGGUGUGCAAGGUCGUGUUUUCACAGCAGUGACAGUGUACCAACAUGCGCACCGCACGCUUGUAUCAUUCCUCUUAGCGCGAUUGUUGUCUCACAUAAUAGUGAUUUCCAUCCAUUAAUUUAGCCCACCGCUAACCCUUUCUCUCCUUCCCCGAACGCGGUGCUGAAUUCAUCAGGGUGAUGUACGGUCGCGGAAAACACUGUCCAACCUUCUGCAUGGGAGAGCACCGCUGACAGAAAUGUGAUCGGAGGGAAGAGAGGAGACAGCAUCGAGACAGAGACGUGGAGGAAGGGAGAGAGAGACAGAGAGAUGAGAGACAGAGAGGAAUCAAGGGUCAUCAGCAGUGCACGUGCGCACACAUGAAAAUAACCGCACGCGCUUCAAUGUGCCUGGCGCGUGUGCUCUCCAACGGACCCGUCGGGACAGGUCGGGGAAGCUGGAAGCGGGAUAAUGUAGGCGGGGGUGGUGAUGGUGGUGGAGGUGGUGGUGGUGGUGCCAGACUCAUAGAAACCCCCUACCCCCACCCCUUGUUAUUGGUCAGUAGCCGUCGUUCACAAUGAAGGCAGCGGAGGCAACUAGUGCGUCUACACGCAGCUCACCAAUUAUCAACACACCUGAAACCGCACCUGUGUCGGUGAUAUGACAGUCACCCUUAUUGUUCAAUUGUUUUUAACAUCUUGAAUCAAGACCAUCAGGCAUCACAGCAAACAACAAAAACAGAGGAUGAAUAAAGGGAUGGUUUGAAUAUUGUUCCUUGGCAAACCCAAGCACGGCAGGGUUUGAACGAGCCGGGUAGGGCCCCAACAGGACCUUGGAUGGGUGGGUGGGAUGGUUGAUAGUUGAUCUGGCGGGAAAGUGCUUCUACUUAGAGGUCGUUUGGUACUAUGUGGCCGUGCACACAGAUGUCACAUACUGAGUGUCCGGAGACGGGAUCUCAACCCAGAGCCUCUGCAGUGGCGAUAAGCGAGUGUUUUAACCUUCACGUCCCACUAUGACGCUUCGUGCACCUGCCUCCUCCGAUAUCCAUCCGCUCCUCUUGACCCCUCAUUGCCUCAGGUCCUCUUCAUCCACGCCACUGUCCGUCACUAGGUGGCGCCACGCGACUGUCGCGUCAUGGGCUUCACUCACGACAGAGCGGCCACUCGCCCUUGAAGACAGCAUGGGGUAGGGCACGCGCGCGGGUGUAUUCGGGUGGAGGGUAGAGUUUCUUCUUCUACGGGGUGCACGCAUGGCGGCAACAGUGCGGAUCCGAGCGUGGCUUCUGUGAUGCUGGUGUCGCGUUACGGGACGCGCUGUGCACCCGGGGUCAGCCAUCGUACAUCUUCCAUGCUCCUUCGCUUCAACAUUUGAUCCGUCAGAUUGAGCGAACGGCGCAGUAUUCCAAUCUUUCAAGUUCGUAAGCUUGGUCAUUCACAGAAAUAUCAAUAUACAAACUUAUCCCCUACAGCCAAGUAGUAGUGAAACUAAACUAAUAAUUCAAGCUUUAAAAUAAACAAGAAAAAUAAAUAUUUCAGAACAACAAUCUCUUAUAUUGUAAUGAGUUGUGGUAGCUCUCGUAUUGUUUUGUGUACGAAUGGUGUCUUGUAUCUGACGUCUUGUGUGCGUCAUUUCUUCCACGUCACUUGAAGCAGAUAAAGACGUCAUAUAUUAAAUCAGAUAAAGGCGUCAUAAGUAGAAGCAGAAAAAGACGUCAUAUGUUUAAAAAAUGAGUUUUUUUUCUAUUGCCAAGGGAGCAAACUAAAAACAGCAACGGUCUUCGUCCGCCAUCUUCUUUAUAACUCUCACUGUAAACUUGUUCCUCUUCGACUGAAUUUACCUACAAAUCUCUUCAUUCUCUUCGUCAUCUGCGGCAGCUCGUCGGUUUUGUGUUUGUGUGUAUGUAAUACGUCGUGCAAGGAGGAUUACAAUCUCACCAUCACCCACUACGGUGAGCGAGUUGCGGCAAAAGCGACAGAAAUUUAUUGCCGAGAGCUUGGCCACAGUUAGAUGAAGCAAUGGCGCCUAACAACAUAUUCUCUGUGAGAAAUGGGAAAUGAGAAGCGAUUGUCAGUUCCGGCAAUUUUCACUCUGUGAUUACAAGUAGGGUGAUUGUGCGUAGAAUAAAGUCGGGGAUCAAUACGGGUUUAUAUUUUCAUCAAAA